GGAAAAAAUGAAAAUGGUAAAAAGGUGAAACGUUGAAACGUUGAAAUUGGAUAGAAGCAGAAAAGGAAGAAAAAAAAAAAAAAGAAUAGAAUCGACUCGUCAGAGUCAUGGUUUCACUUUCACUUGGUUAAAGUAAAAAUGUAAGGCUUAUACAGUGGACGUUACCUCAAUGGCAAUGGCUGGGCAAACAAUUCGAAUAAUGCGCAGAUCCGAUUAUUUAAAAAAAAUAGAAGAAGAAUACAGCCCUGGAACAUAUUUAAUGAAGUAUAAUUUUAAAUAAGCGACGAGUAGAAAAAAAUAACGGUUAAAAAACCGAUGCAGAUAUUUAAAAAAAAAAUCUGAUUAGACUAUGUUCCUGAAUCCUGACGGAAGAUGCAAUCCUAAGAUAUGAUCCGGCAACGUUUUAUUUGUAUUCGAUAGAGGUAGCAGACUUAAAGUUUUAGCCUCAUGUCAGUUUUUGUAUACGUGAAAGAAGGAGAUUGGCGUGCCAUCAAAUAAACUCCAAGGAACCGGAAUUCUUUGCAAUUUCAUUGAAAAGAUUUGAGACCAGAGCCAGCCACCAUAACCACAAGAUUUACACAUUUUGCUGGUGCUGGUAUUAUUGACCUGUCGUCAGCAGCAAUCUCAGUAACAUCACUUGGAUAACCCUGCAUCCCGUUUGAUUGGAGAAACAACCGAUGCCGACCGUGUUACGGAUCUCUUCUUCCCCUUUCUUUAAAUCCCCUAUGUCCUCGUGUACGCCCAUGUGAGUGUGGGUGUAUUCACGAGGACGCGGGAUGCCCUUUCUCCAAUCCCGACUGGUGGAUUCAACUUCUCUGUGGAUGGAUGAGGAUGAAACACUUGUGGAAGCCUGGCCGUAUUUCCCAGGCUAGAAGAUAGACAGACCCAUAGCUGGCGAAACUCUCGACCAGACUAUAUAAUAUAAUAUUUUCGAGGAAAAAAAAGGAAAAGAUGUACCCGACGCCUUCAGACGAAGAGAAUCACGACCCGAGUCACUCACGCUAUUGCCUAUUCAAUCCUCUUUGCCGCUGCCAAGGUACAAACGACGCGACCGAGUGAUCAAAUAAACAAAUUGGGGCUAUUGUCGUAGCAGCUUCAAUGGAUGUCGCAGUUGUCGCUUCUCUCUCUUUUUCUAGUAUAUCCGCCGCCACGGUAGGUCAGCCCAAAUUGGAGGAAUUGACAUAUUUGUGCGUUUUCGAUUCGGAUGACAAUUUUUCAAGUCAACCGGUGCAAGGUUCAUAAAGGCGACCGUGGUCACGUCACUGGUGCAGAAAUUGAAUUGACACGCACGACAUUCAUUCAUCAUCAAAAGGAUCUCCCCCCCGCAAUUGAGGCCAGCAAUUCGUAUAAGAAACUCAAGUGCUACCAUAAGCGGAAUCGAUACCGGAUGACUCGACCAUGACUGGACGAAUUUGUUUUGUUUUUUAAAGAAGAAAACCCGAAUUGCGUUUGCUGUUACAGAUAUACGAUCGAUUUCCAAAAAUAUAUAUGUACUCUCACUCGGUUUACGCUGAGAAAAGACAACCUUGAAGAUUGAUAUGUCACAGAUGACAAAUUGACAAUAACGACGUGUGUGAGAGAGUCGGUUGCGUCGUAAUGAUGACCAGCACGCGGUCGGGCGGCAUUUUUUUUUUAUGUUUAUUUUUUUUUCCCAUUCUGAAAAUGUGACAAUCUGCCCUGUAAUCCGGCCGCAGAUUGCACAAUAAUAAGUCUGGAUGGAGAGGGUAUACGAGCGAGAGUCACGUUUAUUCCAUUAUCCCAAUCUCCCCUGCAGUUGUAGGUCAUCUGCUCAUCACCACCCCGCGGCCUCCUCAUGAUAUUCUUUAAAUUACAACUUUUUUCUUCACAUUCGACUCUAUAUUAUACCUAUACGCAACCAUCCUUUCUUGUCGUCGUAACUAUUUUUUUUUUAAUGUCGAUAUUUAUGCAAGCCCCCGUUGUUGGAAGAGUUCCUAUAGGGAUCGACCCAGUUCUUUUUCAUCUUCUCAAUUCUUUUGUAAGUUUUUUUUUCAAACUUGUGCCUAUAUUUUUUCAUUUUCAUUUUCAUUUUCUUUGUCCUCUGUUGUUCAUCUUUCGAAAAGCAAGUUCCACUCACGAUACACCUUCGGCGCGUGUGUCUUCAUCUUUGUUUGUUUCACUUUUUCUUGUCGGCUGUGUAAUCAAAACGACUUUGUGUCUGCCCAGGAAAACAAGAAUAAAAAUAAAAAGCCAUUGUUUUUU
rnacentral:lncRNA from 1 species